AUGUGAGGCAAUUUUUGUGGACAUACGCUACCUACAUUAUAUAGAAUAGCUAAUGAAUUGAAGUUUAUUGUCAUUUUCAAGGGGUUUACUUAUUUAUUUUGAGAGUGCUGUUGAGUUCCUAAGCAACAUGUAUUUCGAAUUGGAAAUUGUAUGAAAAUGUUGCUAGAAAAAGGUUUUUUGGUACAAUUGGCUUCGACUGUGAUUGAAUCCGAGACUUUAGAGAAGGAGAACCACUUAGCUAAAACUCAUUGGUGCUAGAAAAAGUUAUUUUGUAAUACGCAGAAGAGGAGAGAAGUAAUUGAGAAUAAAAGUCUUGUAAUGAUACUGUAAUUGUGCUUACAGGAUCUGAAAUUAAGAAUCUGUCUGUUUAGGUG
rnacentral:misc_RNA from 1 species